GCAUAGGCCGUGGUUUAAACUAGUCUUUCUACAGCCUGAAAAGCUCAAAAACGAUGUUUUAGUGUUUCUGCAUUGCUUUCCAUCAGAACAGCCUGUACUGGUCAUGUUGUGAUGCCAGGAUACUUUAAAACAGCUCAAUACACCCUAAAAGCACAGUUACACUUGCCGUGGUUUAAAAUAGUGUUCUUGUGUCCUGACAAGCUCAAAAACGAUGUUGUAGUGUUUCUGCAUUGGUUUCCUGCAGAACAGCCUCCAAUAGUCAUGUUCUGAUGUCAGAAUACUGUCAAACAGUCUAAUGCAUCCUAAAUGUACUGUUGCAUAGGCCGUGGUUUAAACUAGUGUUUCUAAAGCCUGAAAAGCUCAAAAACUAUGUUUUACUGUUUCUGCAUUGGUUUCUAACAAUACAGCUUAAGAUGGUCAUGUUCUGAUGCCAGGCAACUUUAAAACAGCUCAAUACACCAUAAAAGCACAGUUACACUUGCCGUGGUUUAAACUAGUGUUCUUAUGUCCUGAAAAGCUCAAAAAAGAUGUUGUAGUGUUUCUGCAUUGGUUUCUAUGAGAACAGCCUCUACUGGUCAUGUUUUGAUGCCAGGCAACUUUAAAACAGCUCAAUACACCAUAAAAGCACAGUUACACUUGCCGUGGUUUAAACUAGUGUUCUUGUGUCCUGACAAGGUCAAAAACGAUGUUUUAGUGUAUCUGCAUUGGUCUCUAUGAGAACAGCCUCUACUGGUCAUGUUCUGAUGCCAGGCAACUUUAAAACAGCUCAAUACACCCUAAAAGCACAGUUACGCUUGCCGUGGUUUAAACUACUGUUCUUAUGGUCUGAAAAGCUCAAAACGAUGUUUUAGUGUUUCUGCAUUGCUUUCCAUCAGAACAGCCUGUACUGGUCAUGAUUUGAUGCCAGGCAACUUUAAAACAGCUCAAUACACCCUAAAAGCACAGUUACGCUUGCCGUGGUUUAAACUACUGUUCUUAUGGUCUGAAAAGCUCAAAACGAUGUUUUAGUGUUUCUGCAUUGCUUUCCAUCAGAACAGCCUGUACUGGUCAUGAUUUGAUGCCAGGCAUCUUUAAAACAGCUCAAUACACCCUAAAAGCACAGUUGCAGAUGCCAAGGUUUAAACUAGUUUUCUCCUGGCCUGACAAGCUCAAAAACGAUGUUUUAGUGUUUCUGCAUUGGUUUCCUGCAGAACAGCCUCCAAUGGUCAUGUUCUGAUGCCAGAAUACUGUCAAACAGCCUAAUGCAUCCUAAAUGUACUGUUGCAUAGGCCGUGGUUUAAACUACUGUUCUUAUGUCCUGAAAAGCUCAAAAACAAUGUUUUAGUAUUUCUGCAUUGCUUUCCAUCAGAACAGCCUGUACUGGUCAUGUUUUGAUGCCAGGUUACUUUAAAACAGCUCAAUACACCCUAAAAGCACAGUUACACUUGCCGUGGUUUAAACUAGUGUUCUUAUGUCCUGAAAAGCUCAAAAAAGAUGUUGUAGUGUUUCUGCAUUGGUUUCUAUGAGAACAGCUUGUACUGGUCAAGUUCUGAUGCCAGGCAACUUUAAAACAGCUCAAUACACCCUAAAAGCACAGUUACACUUGCCG
ensembl:lncRNA